rnacentral:rRNA from 1 species
AGAGUUUGAUCCUGGCUCAGGAUGAACGCUGGCGGCGCGCCUAACACAUGCAAGUCGAACGGCACCCACCUCCGGGUGGAAGCGAGUGGCGAACGGCUGAGUAACACGUGGAGAACCCGCCCCCCUCUCGGGGAUAGCCGCCGGAAACGGCGGGUAACACCCGAUGACCCCGCAGCGAGGCAUCUCGCCGCGGGCAAAACCCAGGUGGAGGGGGAUGGCUCCGCGGCCCAUCAGGUAGACGGCGGGGUGACGGCCCACCGUGCCGACAACGGGUAGCCGGGUUGAGAGACCGACCGGCCAGAUUGGGACUGAGACACGGCCCAGACUCCUACGGGAGGCAGCAGUGGGGAAUCUUGCGCAAUGGGGGAAACCCUGACGCAGCGACGCCGCGUGCGGGAUGGAGGCCUUCGGGUCGUAAACCGCUUUCAGCAGGGACGAGUCAAGACGGUACCUGCAGAAGAAGCCCCGGCUAACUACGUGCCAGCAGCCGCGGU